rnacentral:rRNA from 1 species
GCAAUGCCGCGUGUGUGAAGAAGGCCUUCGGGUUGUAAAGCACUUUUGUCCGGAAAGAAAACCUUCGCUCUAAUAUAGCCGUGGGAUGACGGUACCGGAAGAAUAAGCACCGGCUAACUACGUGCCAGCAGCCGCGGUAAUACGUAGGGUGCGAGCGUUAAUCGGAAUUACUGGGCGUAAAGCGUGCGCAGGCGGUUUGCUAAGACCGAUGUGAAAUCCCCGGGCUCAACCUGGGAACUGCAUUGGUGACUGGCAGGCUAGAGUAUGGCAGAAGGGGGUAGAAUUCCACGUGUAGCAGUGAAAUGCGUAGAGAUGUGGAGGAAUACCGAUGGCGAAGGCAGCCCCCUGGGCCAAUACUGACGCUCAUGCACGAAAGCGUGGGGAGCAAACAGGAUUAGAUACCCUGGUAGUCCACGCCCUAAACGAUGUCAACUAGUUGUUGGGGAUUCAUUUCCUUAGUAACGUAGCUUACGCGUGAAGUUGACCGCCUGGGGAGUACGGUCGCAAGAUUAAAACUCAAAGGAAUUGACGGGGACCCGCACAAGCGGUGGAUGAUGUGGAUUAAUUCGAUGCAACGCGAAAAACCUUACCUACCCUUGACAUGGUCGGAAUCCUGCUGA